AAUGCACGCAAGUGUGACCAAGCGACGCCGAGUGCUGGAUGAAGGCCUUCGGGUUGUAAACAGCUGUCAGAGGGGAUGAAUUGUUGGGGGCUAUCCCCCUUCAUUGACAAAGCCUCAGAGGAAGCGCGGGCUAAGUUCGUGCCAGCAGCCGCGGUAAUACGAACUGCGCGAACGUUAUUCGGAAUCACUGGGCUUAAAGGGUGCGUAGGCGGCCUGUUAAGUAGGGUGUGAAAUUUGUCGGCUCAACCGGCAAACUGCAUUCUAAACUGGCAGGCUUGAGUAAGUCAGGGGUGUGCGGAACUUCCGGUGGAGCGGUGAAAUGCGUUGAUAUCGGAAGGAACGCCGGUGGCGAAAGCGGCACACUGGGGCUUUUCUGACGCUGAGGCACGAAAGCCAGGGGAGCGAACAGGAUU
rnacentral:rRNA from 1 species